AACGCGAAGAACCUUACCUACUCUUGACAUCCAGAGAACUUUCCAGAGAUGGAUUGGUGCCUUCGGGAACUCUGAGACAGGUGCUGCAUGGCUGUCGUCAGCUCGUGUUGUGAAAUGUUGGGUUAAGUCCCGCAACGAGCGCAACCCUUAUCCUUGUUUGCCAGCGAGUAAUGUCGGGAACUCCAGGGAGACUGCCGGUGAUAAACCGGAGGAAGGUGGGGACGACGUCAAGUCAUCAUGGCCCUUACGAGUAGGGCUACACACGUGCUACAAUGGCGCAUACAGAGGGCGGCCAACUUGCGAAAGUGAGCGAAUCCCAAAAAGUGCGUCGUAGUCCGGAUUGGAGUCUGCAACUCGACUCCAUGAAGUCGGAAUCGCUAGUAAUCGUGGAUCAGAAUGCCACGGUGAAUACGUUCCCGGGCCUUGUACACACCG
rnacentral:rRNA from 1 species